rnacentral:misc_RNA from 1 species
AACCUUAUGGACCUGCGGGCGUAUACCUGCGGAGGGAUCAUUAAUGAAUUUGAACUACCUUUCAGUCGUGCUGGCUUUGCAAGUGCACACUGUCUGGUUUCAUCCAACACCCUUGUGCACCUUUGGCCUCGCGUUGUAAUCUUUACGCGUGAGGAUUUUACACAAACUCGUAUGUAAAAGAAUGUAGAUCUAGUGCGUAAGCACGAAAUAAACAACUUUUAACAAUGGAUCUCAGAUCGG